CCCUAACAAACCAUACGGCUCUGCCAUUACUUUAAUGAGUACAUCAAAAGGAGAAUCACAAGCACAACCCACCAUGGAGACGGAGGAUUCCGGAAAGAGAGAAGAAGGGUCUCGAACUCCGUCGCUUCCUGACACGUCCGGUGAUCUGGGUGAGGAAAUCGCAGCUUGGCUUUCAAUGGACGAUGAUACGGUGGAUGAGCUUAUGAAGUUUCUUGACACAGACCCUGAAGGAGCCUCAACAACUUGUAUUAGUGCUAAUACUACAAAGGUAAAGUUCAUUGAAAACCCGUACUCGUCGCCGUUGAUUUUUCAGUCUUCUUCUUCUUAUAUCACCAUCAACGGCAACGAGGAGAGUUGCGGGUCUUCAUUCUCUGACUGGGAGUCGUCAGUCAUGGCUAGUGUGGACAUUGGUGGGAUUGUGAAUGCUGGUAAAGCGGAUGGCAUUGAUGGGUUUUGCGAG
rnacentral:misc_RNA from 1 species